GAUUAGAGAGAAAGAUCAUGAUGAUGAUGAUGAUGAUGAUGCUCAUCAUUAUGUGCAUCGUCAUCCUCAUGAUCAUCGUCAUCAUCGUUA
rnacentral:pre_miRNA from 1 species